rnacentral:lncRNA from 1 species
AGUGCCCGCAGCGGGUCCGGCAGCCCUGGCCUUAUCCGGGCGUCGGGGCUUCGGCGGGCAUUAGCAGCAGCUGAGAGGCCUGUGAGAGGUUCUGGGGCGCCACCGCAGUCAUUCUGUUCAGCGGGUAUAGGGCUCCUCUAGGCCCAGUGGGUUGCUGGAUUUUUAACAGCCACAAGAAACCAACACUAAUGCAGUGUGAGCCCCUCAGCUGGUCUGUACUGGGCACUGAUUAAUGCCUACUUGGUAUGAGACACUUCCAAGCCAUGAGCCGGCUCUACCCCUCUUCCUGGAAUGCCUUCAUCUAACCUCUAUUCCUGCCAUUAUCCUUCCACAUUCAGCUCAGAUAUCCCUUCCUCUGGGAAGCUCUCCCGACUUGACAGAAAUAACUUCUCCCUCGUGUGCUGUGCAGAUCCUGUGCAGACUCCAACUGGGUCCUUAUGUAAUUAUGCUUACGGUCGGUCCACCUGCCUCUACACUGUGAGGGCAGGAACUGUGUCUUGUUCCUUGCGUGUGGCUUUGGAUGCAAAGCAACGUACCUGGCCAAACUGGCAUUGAGGAGAUAUCUGUUGGAUUAAGUGACUCGAGGUGGAGCCUCCCCAAAAGGAGAAGCUAGGCCUCUCUUCCCCAUCACCUGCCUCACCAUGUCUAAUAAGAUGUCCACUUUCAGCCGCAAGAGAUUGUUCUCUUCCUCCAACUGCUGGUUCCGCCUGCGAAGGCGCUGAACCUCCCUCCGGUCCACACCGCCACUAACCCCUGUCUCUGGAGGAAGGACAGAACCAGUUAAAGGGGGAUUUCCUCCUACAAUCUUGUUUGACAAAAUGGCAGGAAGUGCAGCUCACCUGCUAUCCACUGGCCAUUUUCAAACUUCAGGCUUUGCCCUGCCAGGUUCAUAGUCGGGGAUCCGUAUUCCAAGCCCAGCUCCACCUCCCGGGUUGAUCGAUCCAACUGUGGGCGAGAUGCUAUGUGACAACUUCAGCAGGCCCGGAACACGCCUUCAUCCCAGCUCCUCUUCCGCCAACAAUAUGACCCCAACAACUCAUUUCUCUAAUCAUUACUUGGCACCUUUAAUGAUUUUUUUAAAGCCAUAAAAUCAAAUGAUGUACAGGAAAAGUUUAAUUGUGAGAUAAAAAAUAUACUGUUUUAUACAUUAGAUGUUUUCCAGAAAAGCUAUAUAUACUGAAAUUUAUAAAUUGAAUUAUUUUAUACCUACUUGACACUUAAUAGUUUAAGCAAUCCUACUAUAAACUGUUAAUCAAGUGAAAAAUUCUUUUUAAAUGUAAUAGUCCCCCAAGUUAUCAUUUGCUUAAUAUGGAGCUACAUAUGUUGUGGAAAAGACAUAAAAUUCUAACAAUUAGGAGGAA